GACGAACUUCCAGCCCUGGAGCAUGUUUCUUCCUUUCCUGGGAUGUGGCGCUGAAAAGGGCAGAAACCUCUAGUAAGGCACAAGCAACAGAUUGGGGGUGGAGCAGCAGGUCUCUUUGGAGGUGGCCUGGAAGAAACCGGACAGAGAGGAUGGGAAGGGGAGAAACAGAAGAGUGUGACGAGAUCAUGAAGGAAAGAGGAGGCGUCUACUGAAUGUAAGGUAGAGCCAAAGGCAUCUAUUGAUGACUGAAGAAGAGGCAUGAAUAUGACAAAAACAGGAAGCAUCUGUUUCCACCAGUCACCAGCAAGCGGAGGAUCGUAUAAGGACACCCUUCAG
rnacentral:lncRNA from 1 species